GGCGGCGCACAAGCUGCUCGCUAGGAGCCCUAGAAGAGCGGCGGCAGCGGCACGCCUCGCCCAUAAGUUUCCCCCGCUGGCUGCCGAGGUUCCUCGAGCCGGGAGACCCCAGUGCGCCAUCCUGCGCUUGUGGCAAUAAACCGGAGCGCGCGCCCGCGCUGCUGCUGUUGGCGAAGUGAAGAGUGGCGCGAGAGCGCGACUGCGAUCGGCGCGCGAUUUCUCGUGUCGCUCCGCUCGCCUUCAGCGAACCGCCUCGCGUCUGCCUUGCUCUCCACCACCGCGGCGGACCAUGCCCAAGGGCUGCUCGCCGCCGCCGCCGCCGCCGCCGUUUCCAGACUACAACCCCCACCCCCCGCGGGGGAUAGGAGGAGCAAGAAGAGGCAUUCCCCCCCCCUCUACGAUUGCUGGCUGCGGCUGCCACGCGCUCGCUCCCUGAUUGGGCGAGGGGCGCUUCUCAGAAAACUGGCCCCUCUCCACGUGCGCGGCUGGGCAGAACUCGGGCCGUUCUCCAGAUGCGGGUCGGUAUAACUGAUGUGGAAGAGAAAGCAAGUCCCAGAGGAGUGGUCCAGAGAGCAAGAGUGGGCCCAUAGCGGAUGCCAUUCGGAAGAGGAUUAGGUCCAACUCAGCUGCACUCCCAACUCAGCUGCACUCCUUUGCUUCUCUCUGUGGGUAUAAUGGAACGUGCUGCAGGUCUUGUAUGCCUUCCCCAGUGCCUCUCAUCUGGAAAUGGGGGCUACUUCUGCAAGUGUAUGUUAUACCCUGCACCUCUAACAUUGGGGAAACUGCAUUCUGUUCGUUUUGUGACUCUUAAGUUGUGGGAGGUGAUUCUAGGCAGCACACAAAGCUAAAGGGAGUAAGGAGUAGGAGCACAUUGCAUCUCUUAUACUGUACACCACUAUCUACCUUCACGGAUUGAAGGAAAUUUCCCCAGUGUAAGGGUUCUAACAGAAAACAGGUGAAAUGGAAUUUUCUUUUUUAAAGGGAAACCUCUUAUAAAAUACCAGGCAGGUAUCAGCCUGGCUUUGCCAGUUUAGCAAUAGCUGUAGUUCCUGUUCCUGUACCUACAGGGUGACUGCAAAAUGUAUUCUGAAGAUUAUUCUUUAGUGACAAUGCAUUUUCCAGUCCCUGUCAUCUGCCUAAAUGGGAGAAAGGACUGUUUGCAAAGAAAAGGCAGCUCACGCCAUGAAACUGAAGAGGUCAGGAAAUGGAAAUCUGUGCUGCCAAUUCAAGGCUAAAGUCCUCCAUCCCUCCAUUUUUAACCAAUGAUUGUAUUGCAAAAUUUGGAGAUGUGUAAAAAAUAAAAGGAUAACUGUGCUUUGAUCAAUGUAUUAA